UGCAGUCGAACGAAGCUACUUGGUUAGCUUGCUAACCGGGUAGACUUAGUGGCGGACGGGUGAGUAGCACGUGGGUAACCUACCUGGGAGACCGGGAUAACAGCUCGAAAGGGCUGCUAAUACCGGAUGAAGUAUGAGUAAUUAGAUUUACUUGUACCAAAGGCGUUAAGUAGUGCUCCUGGAUGGGCCCGCGGCUCAUUAGCUAGUUGGUAGGGUAAAGGCUUACCAAGGCGAUGAUGGGUAGCCGGUCUGAGAGGAUGGUCGGCCACACUGGGACUGAGACACGGCCCAGACUUCUACGGGAGGCAGCAGUGGGGAAUAUUGCGCAAUGGGGGCAACCCUGACGCAGCGACGCCGCGUGAGUGAAGAAGGCCUUCGGGUUGUAAAGCUCUGUCAGGGGGGAAGAAGGUGACGGUACCCCCUGAGGAAGCCCCGGCUAACUCCGUGCCAGCAGCCGCGGUAAUACGGAGGGUGCAAGCGUUGUCCGGAAUUACUGGGUGUAAAGGGUGUGCAGGCGGGACAGCAAGUCAGAGGUGAAAGCCCACGGCUUAACCGUGGAAGUGCCUUUGAAACUGCUGUUCUUGAGUCCCGGA
rnacentral:rRNA from 1 species